UGUGUGUGAUGGAACUGUUCUGUUUUGACUGAUGAUUAUGUCUGUCAUGCAUUUUUCAAAACUCACAGAACUGCAUAUUAAAUAGGGUGACUCUUUUAUAUGUAAAUCUUUGUGUGUGUGUGUGUGUGUGUGUGUGUGUGUCUGUCUGUCUGUCUCACACACAC
rnacentral:sRNA from 1 species